CUCCCUUCCACUUGGAGGGAACGGUCUAAGUUCAAAGAUGUUGGUGUUAUUGGAGCUGCUGGUCUGGCUUCACGCCGCGAACUCGCAAACUAUCCAGCAGACUCCUCUGGCUUUUUCCGGUUCACCGGGGAAGCCGAUGGCCCUGAACUGCAGCGUGGAGGGCAGCAGCACUUAUCGCGUGUACUGGUACCGGCAGUACCCGGGGCAGGAGCCGCAGUUCAUGUUCUACAGCUACGGUGCUAACUCUAAGAAUCCCGACGGGGAGGUCGAUGGAUUUACCCUGCAGACGACGAAAGAUAACGAGGCCAAACUGGUGACCAACAGCCUGCGGGUGAAUCACUCGGCCGUGUACUUUUGCGCCUGGAGUACUCACAGUGACACGCCGAGAGGGAAGAGCUCGACAAAAACCCCAGACUGCAUGUAA